CCUCUCGUAGUUCAAUGGAUAGAACGGAGGCCUUCUAAGCCUUAGAUGCAGGUUCGAUUCCUGCCGAGAGGA
rnacentral:tRNA from 1 species